UACGAAGGGGGCUAGCGUUGUUCGGAAUCACUGGGCGUAAAGGGUGCGUAGGCGGAUUUUUAAGUCAGGGGUGAAAUCCCGAGGCUCAACCUCGGAACUGCCUUUGAUACUGGGGAUCUUGAGUCCGGAAGAGGUGAGUGGAACUGCGAGUGUAGAGGUGAAAUUCGUAGAUAUUCGCAAGAACACCGGUGGCGAAGGCGGCUCACUGGUCGCACCUGACACUGAUCCACGAAAGCUAGGGGAGCGAAUGGG
rnacentral:rRNA from 1 species